ACUUAGUGGCAGACGGGUGAGUAACAUGUGGGUAUCUACCCUUUGGCCUGGAAUAACACGAGGAAACUUGUGCUAAUACCGGAUAAGUCUUUACGGAGAAAGCUUUAUGCACCAUUGGAUGAGCCCGCACUUGAUUAGUUUGUUGGUAGGGUAAUGGCCUACCAAGACUAUGAUCAAUAGCUGAUUUGAGAGGAUGAUCAGCCACAUUGGGACUGAGACACGGCCCAAACUCCUACGGGAGGCAGCAGUGGGGAAUCUUGCACAAUGGAGGAAACUCUGAUGCAGCGAUGCCGCGUGAGUGAAGAAGGCCUUUGGGUUGUAAAGCUCUUUCGUCGGGGAAGAAAAUGACUGUACCCGAAUAAGAAGGUCCGGCUAACUUCGUGCCAGCAGCCGCGGUAAUACGAAGGGACCUAGCGUAGUUCGGAAUUACUGGGCUUAAAGAGUUCGUAGGUGGUUGAAAAAGUUGGUGGUGAAAUCCCAGAGCUUAACUCUGGAACUGCCAUCAAAACUUUUCAG
rnacentral:rRNA from 1 species